AAGCUAGGAAGUUAGGUAGCCCGCGAAAUUGAUAGCUUCAUGGAUAUAUGCGCUGGCUGCAUUAGCUUGCGAAGAGCUGGCAUCGGCGCGCUGGCGAAUGCCCCGCAGUCAGUCGCCCCCGAGCUUCCGGUCUUGUCCAACCAGUAGUUACGCUAAGAGACCGCUCUAU
rnacentral:sRNA from 1 species